rnacentral:rRNA from 1 species
CUACGGGACGCUCCAGUGGGGAAUAUUGCACAAUGGGCGCAAGCCUGAUGCAGCCAUGCCGCGUGUAUGAAGAAGGCCUUCGGGUUGUAAAGUACUUUCAGCGGGGAGGAAGGGAGUAAAGUUAAUACCUUUGCUCAUUGACGUUACCCGCAGAAGAAGCACCGGCUAACUCCGUGCCAGCAGCCGCGGUAAUACGGAGGGUGCAAGCGUUAAUCGGAAUGACUGGGCGUAAAGCGCACGCAGGCGGUUUGUUAAGUCAGAUGUGAAAUCCCCGGGCUCAACAUGGGAACUGCAUCUGAUACUGGCAAGCUUGAGUCUCGUAGAGGGGGGUAGAAUUCCAGGUGUAGCGGUGAAAUGCGUAGAGAUCUGGAGGAAUACCGGUGGCGAAGGCGGCCCCCUGGACGAAGACUGACGCUCAGGUGCGAAAGCGUGGGGAGCAAACAGGAUUAGAUACCCCGGUAGUC